UUGACACAGAAGGAUAUAUCAGGACGUGUCAGAGACAAAUAUUGGAGAGCACCAACGACACUUCGAUAGCGAGUAGUAUCCUCAGAAUAAGUCCACUAGAAGUAUGGCGGACCUCAAUCCCAA